AUGGCAUCGGAGAUGAGCAAGGACGUGAAGUUCUCCGAGGAGGAAGUCUCCUCGCACCCGCGCGUUCUCGAAGGCGAGGAGCUGACGGUUGCGCCGGCGCGGCAGUCUUCCAUCUUCGCGCUGACGCUGGACGAGCUGCAAUACUCGGUGUGCGAGGCAGGGCGCAACUUUGGGUCCAUGAACAUGGACGAGUUCAUGAGCAACAUAUGGAAUGCCGAGGAGUUCCAAGCGGCCACCGGCGGUGGCUUGGUGGGCAUGGAGGUGGCUCCUGUGGUGGGUGCUGGUGCAGGCGGAGGUGGCGCAGAUGCAGGAGGAAGCAACCUAGCCCGGCAGGAGUCGUUCUCCUUGCCUCCCCCGCUGUGCCGGAAGACGGUGGAGGAGGUGUGGGCUGAGAUCAACAGGGAGCCCCGCCAGGUGCAUGCUCAGCCUCAGGGCGCGCGAGCCUCACAGCAGCCUCCUGUCCAGCCACCGGUUGCGGCCAACGACCGGCAGGGGACCCUAGGCGAGAUGACGCUGGAGCAGUUUCUUGUCAAGGCCGGCGUGGUCCGUGGAUCUGGCGCCGGCGGCCAGGCGCCUGUGCCGGUCGGCAUGGUCCAUGCACAGAUGAACCCCGUGCAGCAGGGGCAGCAGCCUGGCCCAAUGAUGUACCCGAUGGCACCAGCCAACGGCAUGUUCCAGGUGAUGGGCGACGGCAUGGGGUUCGUCCCCAACGGGUACGCAGGGAUGGCCGUGGUGCCGCCACCACCUCCUCCUCAAGGUGGGAUGGGUAUCGUGAGCCCCGGGUCCUCGGACGGGAGGAGCGCCAUGACGCAGGCUGACAUGAUGAACUGCAUGGGCGACGGAGCGAUGAUGGAGAACGGCGGCGCCCGGAAACGCGGCGCCCCGGAGGAUCAGUCCUGCGAGAGGAGCAUCGAGCGCCGCCACCGCCGCAUGAUCAAGAACCGUGAGUCAGCCGCACGAUCGCGUGCCAGGAAGCAGGCUUACACCGUGGAGCUUGAAGCUGAACUGAACCACCUCAAGGAGGAGAACGCUCGUCUGAAAGCUGAGGAGAAGACAAUUCUGCUGACCAAGAAACAAAUGCUAGUGGAGAAGAUGAUAGAACAGUCCAAGGAGAACGUGAACGUCAAGAAGGGUGGCACCCUCUCGCGGCGCUGCGGCAGCUGCAUCUGGUGA
rnacentral:rRNA from 1 species